AGUGAACGCUGGCGGUAGGCCUAACACAUGCAAGUCGAACGGCAGCACAGUAAGAGCUUGCUCUUACGGGUGGCGAGUGGCGGACGGGUGAGGAAUAUAUCGGAAUCUACUUUUUCGUGGGGAUAACGUAGGGAAACUUGCGCUAAUACCGCAUACGACCUACGGGUGAAAGCAGGGGAUCUUCGGACCUUGCGCGAUUGAAUGAGCCGAUGUCGGAUUAGCUAGUUGGCGGGGUAAGGGCCCACCAAGGCGACGAUCCGUAGCUGGUCUGAGAGGAUGAUCAGCCACACUGGAACUGAGACACGGUCCAGACUCCUACGGGAGGCAGCAGUGGGGAAUAUUGGACAAUGGGCGCAAGCCUGAUCCAGCCAUACCGCGUGGGUGAAGAAGGCCUUCGGGUUGUAAAGCCCUUUUGUUGGGAAAGAAAAGCAGCAGGUUAAUACCCCGCUGUUCUGACGGUACCCAAAGAAUAAGCACCGGCUAACUUCGUG
rnacentral:rRNA from 1 species